CUUUAGUUCUUGCCAUUCCCUGCUGGAAUUCCUCACCCUGUGCUUCUCCCCACAGCGAGGGCCACGGGAAGCUGACGGUGUUCUCAGUGAAAGCCAUGCUGGCCACCAUGUGUGGUGGGAAAAUCCUGGACAAACUCAGAUAUAUUUUCUCUCAGAUAUCAGAUUCCAACGGGCUAAUGAUAUUUACCAAGUUUGACCAGUUCCUGAGGGAGGUUCUGAAGCUCCCCACGGCCGUGUUCGAGGGCCCUUCCUUCGGGUACACGGAGCAUUCUGUGAGGACCUGCUUCCCACAGCAG